rnacentral:lncRNA from 1 species
ACGAGUAUAGAGUAAUAUCGAAGUCUCUUGGGAAACGAUAUCCGGUCUUACCGGUUUUACUACUUGCACGACUUGGUACACUUGCCAAUGUCUUAACAAGUUUUUGCCACAUCAUUUUUUCUUUUUCUGAAAUUGAGUCAACUUUGUCUACUUUUUUCACGCGGGAAGGUUUGACAAACGGGUGGUGGUGAGUUGUGCACUGUGCUUGACAUCCCCAUCACCGCAAAGAAAUUCUUCUCUCUCGCCCUCAUCUUCACCAACAUCAACCUCCUCCACCACGCCAACGUCAACACCUUCAUGGGAGCCCACAAUAUCUUCAACUUUAGAAGUGACAAAACUUCCACACGCAUUGACCUUUCAAAGUAGUUUAGCUUGUCAUUCACUGAACCCAAUUUCCCGAAAUCACCAACGACAUCCCCGUGUGGAUCAAAGAGAUUUGACAACACAAGGAUUGAUGUUUUCUUAUUGAUUUCGCCCUAGUUGGAGCUGUCUGUUUCAUUAAUCAGUGCAAUUGUUUCAAACUUAUCUGACAGUGAUGGAAACCGAUGGUUGAAGCUCUAGCGCUAAAACUCUCAGCCACAAGGUCGGGC